GGAUAUGAGGGCGAUCUGGCUGUGACAUCUUUCACUCCAUUGAUUGCCAAGAGUGGUUUGGCUGAUCUGGCUGGCCAGGCAAGUGUCCCCUUCCUCCCUCACUGCCCCACGUGCAUCCCUUUGAGGUGUGUCUAAGAAGAGGACCACUCCCACCACUCCUGAUAGAGGAGGCCUGUUUCCUUGGUCAAGGGUAUAUGAGUAGCUGAGCUCCCCUGCUAGAAACUCCAAACAAGCUCUGAAGAAGAGCCUAGGCUAGGGUGAGGUUAUAGCUCAGUGGAAGAGCACUUCCUGGCAUGUGUGACAAUGCCCUGGA
rnacentral:snRNA from 1 species